rnacentral:rRNA from 1 species
GAUCCUGGCUCAGGAUGAACGCUAGCGGCAGGCUUAACACAUGCAAGUCGAGGGGCAGCGGGAUGUAGCAAUACAUUGCCGGCGACCGGCGGAUGGGUGCGUAACGCGUAUGCAACCUACCCUAUACAGGGGAAUAACCUUUCGAAAGGGAGACUAACACCCCAUAGUAUUGAUUUAAGGCAUCUUAGAUUAAUUAAAUAUUUAUAGGUAUAAGAUGGGCAUGCGUAUGAUUAGCUAGUUGGUAAGGUAACGGCUUACCAAGGCGACGAUCAUUAGGGGUUCUGAGAGGAAGGUCCCCCACACUGGUACUGAGACACGGACCAGACUCCUACGGGAGGCAGCAGUGAGGAAUAUUGGUCAAUGGGCGCAAGCCUGAACCAGCCAUGCCGCGUGCAGGAAAGACGGCCUUAUGGGUUGUAAACUGCUUUUACAUAAGACUAACCGUAUAUUUGCGAAUAUACCUGAAUGUAUUAUGAGAAUAAGGAUCGGCUAACUCCGUGCCAGCAGCCGC